rnacentral:rRNA from 1 species
CCUACGGGAGGCAGCAGUGGGGAAUUUUGGACAAUGGGCGCAAGCCUGAUCCAGCAAUGCCGCGUGAGUGAAGAAGGCCUUCGGGUUGUAAAGCUCUUUUGUCAGGGAAGAAACGGUGGGAGCUAAUAUCUCCCGCUAAUGACGGUACCUGAAGAAUAAGCACCGGCUAACUACGUGCCAGCAGCCGCGGUAAUACGUAGGGUGCAAGCGUUAAUCGGAAUUACUGGGCGUAAAGCGUGCGCAGGCGGUUUUGUAAGUCUGUCGUGAAAGCCCCGGGCUCAACCUGGGAAUUGCGAUGGAGACUGCAAGGCUUGAAUCUGGCAGAGGGGGGUAGAAUUCCACGUGUAGCAGUGAAAUGCGUAGAGAUGUGGAGGAACACCGAUGGCGAAGGCAGCCCCCUGGGUCAAGAUUGACGCUCAUGCACGAAAGCGUGGGGAGCAAACAGGAUUAGAUACCCUGGUAGUCCACGCCCUAAACGAUGUCUACUAGUUGUCGGGUUUUAAUUAGCUUGGUAACGCAGCUAACGCGUGAAGUAGACCGCCUGGGGAGUACGGUCGCAAGAUUAAAACUCAAAAGGAAUUGACGG